CUUCUGUGCUUCCCUAAGAAUGUGGAGGAGGAAAAAUGAAUAGAAGGUUUUGAUGACAAGCUUAAAAAAUUUUUUGCUGAGUGGCUGGCAAGAUGGCCCAAUAGGAACAGCUCCAGCCUGCAGCUCCCAGUGAGAUCAACGCAGAAGUGGUGCCUGGAAUGCCAGAGAGACAGAACCAUUCACUCCCUGGAAAGGGGGCUGAAACCAGGGAGCCAAGUGGUCUAGCUCAGUUGAUCCCACCCCCAUGGCGCCCAGCAAGGUUUUGAGCACCUUUUGGAUUAAUGCCAGAAGAAAUCCUUCAAAACUUUGUGUCAGUCUUUCUGUUGUGGAGAUUUUUUUUUUUUCAGUCUUUUUGUCUGCCUAGCAUUUGCAUCCCCUUUCUACGUGAGAUUAAUCUUGGUGGGAGAAAGAGCAAACUUUAAACUUUAGAAACAUUAACUAUAUAAACUAUAAAAACUAAAAAUACCAGAUACGUUCUCAGCCUGAUUUGAAGCAAGGGUUUGGGCAAAUACUUCGGGCUCUCUAUAUUGGAUGCACUCAUACCAGUUUUUGAGUAGGAAGUUAGUGACACCAAAAAACACGGGAAGUGACUCAUUCUCUGAUAAAGGAAGUGGUUACAGCACAAUUGUGUUCCUGAUAGAUCAGUGACAACAUUAUCUAGGACACUCAGUGUUCUAGUUUUGUGGGGGCAGAAGUAGUUUCCUCAUCAGCCCAGUUUUGCAGCCUCAAUUGGGGCAUUGUUCAAGAUUCAUUGUUCUGAGCAAGAUGGUUCCGCUCUCCUGGUGAUUCAGAGAGCUACCUAUUAGUUUUUAAAAUAAACUCUUUUUUAUCCUCCCA
rnacentral:lncRNA from 1 species